UCCCUCUUGCUCAAUUGGUGGAGCGCAUCACUAGUAUCCACAAGAACUCGCGGUCUCUAUCAUGAUGAGGUCAGUGGUUCAAAUCGGCUAGCGGGAA